UCCUGAUGGCUCACAUGAAGUUUCGUGCCGUUCCGACCUCGUUUGAUACGGUUAUGGUUAACCACACGGCCCCUCGGGCCCGACCCGAGCCCAGUCAACGUUUUGACCCGAUCAAAUCGGCCCGUGACCCGAAACGACCCUACUUGGGCCCUACAACAGCCACGUAAAGUUUCGGGAUGAUCCGACGUUCUUUCAUGGGGUUACGGACAAUCCACGCCAAACAAGCGUCACGGGCCGACCGAGCCGGGCCAACGGGCCCUCGGGACCCGAAAACUGAAUUUUUUUUCAUCCAAACCCAUUAAAACACGUUACCGAGGUCUCACGCAAAAUUUCAUGCCAAUCCGACGUCGUUUGAUGGGGUUUUGAGAUAUUAUGAUUCCUCAAAAAUUUAAUGUCUGUUCCUGUCACUUAGCUUUUUGUGCAAAAUGUAUAUAUAGGGGAGGGGUGGGUGUUGAGCAGCCCAUGCCCGGGCAAGGCAUGCCAGCGCCCAAGCCAAAGGAGGCUGGUGGCGUGCGUAUAACAGCUCAAAUGCCCCAACGAUGACCGAGAACAAGCGCCCAUCUCCCUCCUCCUUCCCCCCCCACCAAGCGCCCCUCCCCCCCCAUGUUGCCUGCCCACUCGCACAGCUACUCGUGAUUUCAUGCCCAGCGACUAGUGAAUGUGCCUCGACGACCAGCAAACCUCGAAAAUUAUGAUUCCUCGUAAAAUUAAUGUCUGUUCCUGUCACUUUACUUUUUGUGCAAAAUGUAUAUAUAGGGGAGACCAGGGGCUUGAGCAACCCCUGUGCCCAAGCAAGGGUCAGAUGGAAGCACACGAGACGCGAGGUUUAAAGCCUAUACAAGCAAGGCGUCUGUCUCCCCAAGCCCCAUUGCCUAUAAAACAAGCCCGAUGCCUUGUAAAUGCCCCACACGAUGCCUAUAAACGACAACGAUGUUUGCUAGUUAAUCGAUCGACGCCCCACACCUUGCAGCAUGUUGCCUAGUAAACAAGCCAUGCUGCCUUGGAAGCGCCCCACAUCAUGGCAUGUUGCCUAGCACGCUGCCCUUGUUUCCAGCACGGCGACCUGAAAGCGUGGCCUGACGACGUGCUUGCCUUCGAAAAUUAUGAUUCCUCAAAAAAUUAAUGUCUGUUCCUGUCACUUUACUUUUUGU
rnacentral:rRNA from 1 species